rnacentral:miRNA from 1 species
AAGCAGGAGGGGGCGGGGAUCCGUCAGCUGGGAAGCAAGGCUUCCCACUACCUAACUGAGAGAUCCCUGCCCCCUACUGCUUGCACGCAAGCUCUGAUAGGCAGCGUGAAGCCUCCCUUCACAGCUGAGAGAUCCCCGCCCCCUCCUGCUU